GUUGUAAUAAUAAAUAAUUCACGAAAAAAAAUAAUGUAUAAUGAACAAAUUACUGCCUAUAUGUUUGAAUGAAGGUUCAGAUCCAGAGCCCGAUCAAUAUUAAUCAUCCAUGAAAAAUCUAGUUCCUAUUUGUUUUUUUUUUUUUGACAUAACUCCUAUUCGUUUAUUUGUACAAGAAAAACAUCAUCCUUUGCAGAAUUUUAUUGUGCAACUUUUUCUGGAUGUAUGCAAAAUGAACCUAAAUAAAAAUAGUGGCAUACAAUUUUAAAGUAAAGAAAGAAAAAGAUGGUUGGAGAAUGGCAUAAAUAAGAAUAAUAUACAGAAGGUGCAAGUCAUUUUUCUUCCAAGCGCCGCAGCACCGACUCGGCAAAGUUCUGUUGCCUACAGAUGAGUUAUAGCCAAUAAUCAACAACAUGACACAUAAGAAUUAACUAAAAAACUAACACACUAACACACAUGAGAGUAGAAUGUAAGUUUCUAACAAACAACAUUAGUUGCAUAUUGCAGCAUAAACAUUUUUAUUGAGUACGUUACUAUAGUAUUUAACCAAUCCUCUUUGUAAUAUAGGGAGAUUGAAUAUUGUUAAACACUAACAUUAUAUUUUGACAUAAACAGAAAGGUUCAAGUUAAGGGUGUACACGUGUAGGGUUGAGUCGGUUUAGGUCAAACUCAUUAUCCGAUCCAAUCAAAAUUCACCGGUUUGGAUCGAGUCAAACUCAGUUUUCUGUCAAACUAGAAUCAACCCAACACAUUGGGUUGGUUUGGGUUAUAAAACAUAAAUAUUUUGAAAAUUCCAAAAUAUUAAUCUAAUUUUGGGUCUUGCUAACGAGUGCCCCCGGGGCACUCUUUAAGCAUUCCAUUUAAAGAAACUUUUUAUUCAAAAAGUUAAACACUACAAUUUCCAAUACGUUGACUUUACGCAUUCCGAUAAAAAUUCUAUGGCUUAAUUAGUUAAAUGGUCCCUUAAAGACAUUUUAGGUUUCACAAUGGUCCCUUAAAGAAAAAAAGGUCCGGAUUGGUCCCUUAAAGAUUCACUUUUUGUCAUAUAGGUCCCCUCCGUUAAUUUUUUAACUCUAAAUGUAUUAGGUGGACCAACAUUGCAGGUAGUCCACCAUAUACCUCAAUACAUUUUUUAAUCUUAACCAUUUGAUUCUUUUGUCAAAAAAAUAACCAUUGGAUUUUGUAUGUCUACCAUAUCUAGCAAUACACCAUCAACAAAUAAUUCAUUCUCCCAUU
rnacentral:lncRNA from 1 species